UAGGGAAUCUUCGNGCAAUGGACGGAAGUCUGACCGAGCAACGCCGCGUGAGUGAAGAAGGUUUUCGGAUCGUAAAGCUCUGUUGUAAGAGAAGAACGAGUGUGAGAGUGGAAAGUUCACACUGUGACGGUAUCUUACCAGAAAGGGACGGCUAACUACGUGCCAGCAGCCGCGGUAAUACGUAGGUCCCGAGCGUUGCCCGGAUUUAUUGGGCGUAAAGCGAGCGCAGGCGGUUAGAUAAGUCUGAAGUUAAAGGCUGUGGCUUAACCAUAGUAGGCUUUGGAAACUGUUUAACUUGAGUGCAAGAGGGGAGAGUGGAAUUCCAUGUGUAGCGGUGAAAUGCGUAGAUAUAUGGAGGAACACCGGUGGCGAAAGCGGCUCUCUGGCUUGUAACUGACGCUGAGGCUCGAAAGCGUGGGGAGCAAACAGGAUUAGAUACCCUGGUAGUCCACGCUGUAAACGAUGAGUGCUAGGUGUUAGACCCUUUCCGGGGUUUAGUGCCGUAGCUAACGCAUUAAGCACUCCGCCUGGGGAGUACGACCGCAAGGUUG
rnacentral:rRNA from 1 species